rnacentral:tRNA from 2 species
GGUCGCAUAGCUCAGUUGGUUAGAGCACCGCCUUGAUAAGGCGGGGGUCGAUGGUUCAAGUCCAUCUGCGACCACCA